GUCGGGCCCGCCCCGGGGUCCGUGAGGGGACGCGCGGCCGCCCCGCGAGGCAGCGUCGCUGUGACCGGCGUUUGUUCCACAGAGCUCCCAAAUCUCGCUGAGUGAGCUGCAGAAAAGCAGCCAGGUUACCUCCUCAUCUCAAUUACCUUCUGAUGAUGCAGCCUCCUCUCCACAUCAGUGCAAUACCACCAUAAUUCAGGGUCCAGCCAAAUUCUUUGGCUGCUUGUCUCAGCAGCAUGAAGCCUUGAGCAUAUGAGAUAAUCUUGGAAGCAUACAGGGCCUAAAAAAAAAAAAAAAAAAAAAAAAAAAAAUCAAAUUCACGUUCCAGGAGAAGUCUCACAAAGCUGAACAACAAACUUCACAGGAUAUGCACUCUGUUCAGCCCACAUCUCAACAGGGAUGACUACAGUAGCAACAUUCCAGUUAUUUGAGAAACAAAAGAUCCUUUCCCGUUGGAAAGUUUGGUUUCAAGAGAGAGAGAUCAAGAGAGCAAUACCCAGGCAAAGGCAGGAGUGUUGAGGGGUGGACAAGCUCCUGUGCAUGAAUUAUGAUCUCUGUGCCCCAUGUAGUUGUCUCUGCCCACCGUGGCUUAGAGCUGAAUUCCUUCUGGAUCCUUCCUAACCUUCCUUUGGUUAGGAAUGGGUCACAUUAUGCUUUGUGGACAUCAAGAGACAAUGCACAGUGCUGCAAGCAGGAACCAGUUCCCAUGAAAUAUGAGCACAAGAGCUCCUCUCCAGAGUUCCCAGCACCCCAAACCUGCUCUAACCCUGCCCAAGGGCUCACCUUGCGGAUGUCCUCCAGGAAGGCCUUCUUGUUCCCACUGAACUGAGUCAUUUUGGGCCCUUCCAGCAGCUUACUGGCCUGCACCCUCUCAUCCUUGAGGGAAGACAGGCACCGUGCAAACACAGCUUCACCUUUGGGAGUGGCAGGCAAGAGGAGAUCAUUAGAACCCUGGGCAUCCCCGUUCAUGUCUGAGAUACCCAAGCACCACAGAGUGUCACUGAGCGAUGAGCCAUGUACACAAGCAAAAUAAAUGGUGCAAAAAUCAAUUAUUCCAACAGCACUCCUGAGGGCCAACACUGCCACUCAGUACAACCAUUGGGUAAUUCUUGACUGAUACAGCUUUCAAGUUAUAAUGAAAAUUUAUCCUCAGGAACAUUUACCAGCUCUCAAUUUUGAGAAUUUACUUUAAAAUCUUCUCCUAUCUAUCAGAGACAGACAGUGUUGCACGGCAAUCUAGGGAACAGCGAGGCUGAAGACUUCACCAAAUAUUGCAUUAUGCUUUUAAGAUAAAAAGCUGUUCCUUAAAUGCCAGCAUACAUUAACUGGAUGUGCUUUAAAAUGCACACAUACAAAAUAAGGGCAAUUAAAAUCAAGAAUAAAACAGCAAACUUACAAGAAUGACAUAAGAUUCAUAAAUAUGGCAGGCCCCUAGCACUAGCAUUCAGAAGUCCAUAAGAAUGUUUUCUAACAUCACUAAACAGGUUACUAAAUAUCAUCUGUCAGGCUGGCUCAGUGAGUUCCUAAUCAAGUUGGUUUAAGCUGCACUUGUUUGCAAUUGAAGACAGUAUUGUAAAAUGAGGGAGAAAAAAGAUUGCUUUUCAGGGUCUGAUAGAAAGAGAAGCAAGUCUUCAUACUGUCAUUUUGUUCCACCCUUUGAGUUGUGAUAUAUUUAAAAAAAAAAAAAAAACCAA